rnacentral:lncRNA from 1 species
UGGAGAAUGGUAACAGGCAAAGAGAGGAUUCUGCCAAUUCCAAAUGACAGGAAUAAAAAGAAGAAGCUUGAAAUGACUGCAACAACAAAAGCGUUGAAGUCCGCUCUUAGAAGAAAGGAGAGAUUGUCCCAAGUCCCAAGUUUCCUCUAUAGGCAACAACAGCUGUCCUGGGGCUAGUGCUGCUGACUUCCAGUGCUGGGAGCACAUAAAUUUUCACUUAAGUACUCCUUUGGCUGCAUUCCACAAAUUUAGACCCAAAUGGGGUCAUGAAGAUUUGGACACAAGCAAAAUGACUGAACAACUGCUUCUCAAAA